rnacentral:rRNA from 1 species
CCUACGGGAGGCAGCAGUAAGGAAUAUUGGGCAAUGGAGGCAACUCUGACCCAGCCAUGCCGCGUGAAGGAUGAAGGCCCUAUGGGUUGUAAACUUCUUUUGUACGGGAAUAAACCUGGUUACGUGUAACCAGUUGAAUGUACCGUAAGAAUAAGCACCGGCUAACUCCGUGCCAGCAGCCGCGGUAAUACGGAGGGUGCAAGCGUUAUCCGGAUUUAUGGGUUUAAAGGGAGCGUAGGCGGGAUUGUAAGUCAGUGGUGAAAGCCCGUAGCUCAACUACGGAACUGCCAUUGAUACUGCAGACCUAGAGUACACUUGAAGUGGGCGGAAUGUGUCAUGUAGCGGUGAAAUGCUUAGAUAUGACACAGAACACCAAUUGCGAAGGCAGCUCACUAAAUUGUAACUGACGCUG